rnacentral:rRNA from 1 species
UACGUAGGUGGCAAGCGUUGUCCGGAUUUAUUGGGUUUAAAGGGUGCGUAGGCGGUUUUAUAAGUCAGUGGUGAAAUCCGGCAGCUCAACUGUCGAUGUGCCAUUGAUACUGCAGAACUUGAGUACAGACGAGGUAGGCGGAAUUGACGGUGUAGCGGUGAAAUGCUUAGAUAUCGUCAAGAACACCGAUAGCGAAGGCAGCUUACUAGACUGUAACUGACGCUGAUGCACGAAAGUGUGGGGAUCAAACAGG